rnacentral:rRNA from 3 species
UUCAGCGAGCCAUCGAAUCUUUGAACGCACAUUGCGCCCGCCAGUAUUCUGGCGGGCAUGCCUGUCCGAGCGUCAUUUCCUCCCUCACGCAGCGCGCCUGCGUGGUGUUGGGGCGUUCUGCGGCCAGGCCUGCGACUAGCAGGCCGCCGCAGCCCCCGAAAGCCAGUGGCGGGCCGGCAGCGGGCUCCGAGCGCAGUAAGCAGCAGUGCCCUCGCUCUGGACGCCCCCGCCUGCGCCCUGCCCCAAAGACGGCAGACGCGAGUCUCCCUCCUUCUCAAGGUUGACCUCGGAUCAGGUAGGACUACCCGCUGAACUUAAGCAUAUCAAUAAGCGGAGGAAAAGAAACCAACAGGGAUUGCCCCAGUAACGGCGAGUGAAGCGGCAACAGCUCAGAUUUGGAAUCUGGCCCCCAGGGCCCGAGUUGUAAUCUGGAGAGGAUGCUUCUGGCGCGGCGCCUUCCGAGUUCCCUGGAACGGGACGCCGGAGAGGGUGAGAGCCCCGUACGGUCGGACGCCUAGCCUUUGUGAAGCUCCUUCGACGAGUCGAGUAGUUUGGGAAUGCUGCUCAAAAUGGGAGGUAAAUUUCUUCUAAAGCUAAAUAUUGGCCAGAGACCGAUAGCGCACAAGUAGAGUGAUCGAAAGAUGAAAAGCACUUUGAAAAGAGGGUUAAACAGUACGUGAAAUUGUUGAAAGGGAAGCGCCCGUGGCCAGACUUGUGCCCCGCGGACCACCCGGCGCCCUCAGCGCCGGUGCACUCCGCGGGGCGCAGGCCAGCAUCGGUUUUUCCAGGGGGACAAAGGCGGCGGGAACGUGGCUCCCUCGGGAGUGUUAUAGCCCGCCGCGCCAUGCCCCUGGGGGGACCGAGGACCGCGCUUCGGCAAGGAUGCUGGCGUAAUGGCCACCGGCGACCCGUCUUGAAACACGGACCAAGGAGUCAAGCAUUGGGGCGAGUGUCUGGGUGCCAAACCCGCACGCGAAAUGAAAGUGAACGCAGGUGAGAGCUUCGGCGCAUCAUCGACCGAUCCUGAUGUUCUCGGAUGGAUUUGAGUAAGAGCCUUACCGCUUGGACCCGAAAGAUGGUGAACUAUGCCUGUAUAGGGUGAAGCCAGAGGAAACUCUGGUGGAGGCUCGCAGCGGUUCUGACGUGCAAAUCGAUCGUCAAAUAUGGGCAUGGGGGCGAAAGACUAA